CUCCUUUGGGAACGGUGGCCCAGGGAAGCAUGUUAAACCACAGGAUGAACUUGGUAUAUCUUCAUGGGAUAUGUUUACUUUAGUGGCCCUCGGGACAGGAGAAAACAAAGAUCACUUUUCUCUGGCCAAAUGGAGUCACCCAGCGAAGUACCUUCCCGAUGGGCCAUCUCUUUCAAGAAUGCUGCUGAACACUGGCAGGACGUAUUUCAGAGAUCGAAGGCAGGUCUUUGAAGACAGUCUUUGUCACCCAGGCUGGAGUGCAGUGGUAUGAUCUUGGCUCACUGCAACCUCCACCUCCUGGUUUCAAGUGAUUCUCCUGCUUCAGCCUCCUGAGAAGCUGGGACUACAGGCAUGCACCACCAUACCCAUCUAAUUUUUAGUAGAGAUGGGGUUUCACCUUGUUGGCCAGGAUGAUCUCCAUCUCUUGUGAUCUGCUCACCUCUGCCUCCCAAAGUGCUGGGAUUAUAGGCGUGAGCCACCAUGCCCGGCCUCUCCCACCUUCUUCUGCCUGCUCUAUUCUAGCUGUGGUGGCC
rnacentral:lncRNA from 13 species